GCAAAACAAGCCUGGCAAAAACACCUAAACAACCACCGAAAAGCCUAAGUCGGACUAUAAUCAGAGGAAGCGAAAAUAAUGGGGUCCACAUCCCACGAGCGUUGCAUCCGCCUGUUCCUGGGAGAGUCCUCAACAUUCUCAAAGAUGAUGUGACACAGCGCCCCAAAGGAGAACCGGGCAACACGCUUAUAAAACUCCUUGCCGCUGAGCAAGGUAAUGGCCCAACUGAGAGUCUCCUCCCAAGUCCUGUUGGUCCAGGGGAGAUUGCAUCUAGUAGCCCAGAAAAAGGCAAUACUCGAGCCACAGGUUUAGUUGGUAGCGAGGCAGGAUGGCAUUACUCCAAAUGAAACAAUGCCAAUUGACUCUGGCCUUCUUCCUCCUUAAGGCCUCCCAAGCCGAGGCCACCGAGAACAAGCCCGUCGAGUCCUCCCUCCAACAGAACCGAUCUUGGGUUCCAGACAAGGAAGGAAGCGGCGAACCCCAAGACUCAAUCUCUGAUCUGAUAGCUUGUCCAUCCUCAGAGAAGAGAUCGGCAACCAAAGCCUGCCUAGAGAGA